GUGGUUUAAUUCGAAGCAACGCGAAGAACCUUACCUAAGCUUGACAUCCUAAUGACAUCUCCUUAUACGGAGAGUUCCCAUAGGGGACAUUGGUGACAGGUGGUGCAUGGUCGUCGUCAGCACGUGUCGUGAUACGUUGGGUUAAGUCCCGCAACGAGCGCAACCCUUGUCUUUAGUUGCCAUCAUUAAGUUGGGCACUCUAGAGAGACUGCCAGGGAUAACCUGGAGGAAGGUGGGGAUGACGUCAAAUCAUCAUGCCCCUUAUGCUUAGGGCUACACACGUGCUACAAUGGGUAGUACAGAGGGUUGCCAAGCCGUAAGGUGGAGCUAAUCCCUUAAAGCUACUCUCAGUUCGGAUUGUAGGCUGAAACUCGCCUACAUGAAGCUGGAGUUACUAGUAAUCGCAGAUCAGAAUGCUGCGGUGAAUGCGUUCCCGGGUCUUGUACACACCGCCCGUCACACCACGGGAGUUGGAGACGCCCGAAGCCGAUUAUCUAACCUUUUGGAAGAAGUCGUCGAAGGUGGAAUCAAUAACUGGGGUGAAGUCGUAACAAGGUAGCCGUAUCGGAAGGUGCGGCUGGAUCACCUCCUUUCUAAGGA
rnacentral:rRNA from 1 species